CGUAGGGUGCAAGCGUUAAUCGGAAUUACUGGGCGUAAAGCGUGCGCAGGCGGUUAUGUAAGACAGGUGUGAAAUCCCCGGGCUUAACCUGGGAACUGCAUUUGUGACUGCAUAGCUAGAGUACGGUAGAGGGGGAUGGAAUUCCGCGUGUAGCAGUGAAAUGCGUGGAUAUGCGGAGGAACACCGAUGGCGAAGGCAAUCCCCUGGACCUGUACUGACGCUCAUGCACGAAAGCGUGGGGAGCAAACAGGAUUAGAUACCCUGGUAGUCCACGCCCUAAACGAUGUCAACUGGUUGUUGGGUCUUCACUGACUCAGUAACGAAGCUAACGCGUGAAGUUGACCGCCUGGGGAGUACGGCCGCAAGGUUG
rnacentral:rRNA from 1 species